UAAUUGAAGAGUUUGAUCAUGGCUCAGAUUGAACGCUGGCGGCAGGCCUAACACAUGCAAGUCGAGCGGCAGCACAGAGAAACUUGUUUCUCGGGUGGCGAGCGGCGGACGGGUGAGUAAUGCCUGGGAAAUUGCCCUGAUGUGGGGGAUAACCAUUGGAAACGAUGGCUAAUACCGCAUGAUGCCUACGGGCCAAAGAGGGGGACCUUCGGGCCUCUCGCGUCAGGAUAUGCCCAGGUGGGAUUAGCUAGUUGGUGAGGUAAGGGCUCACCAAGGCGACGAUCCCUAGCUGGUCUGAGAGGAUGAUCAGCCACACUGGAACUGAGACACGGUCCAGACUCCUACGGGAGGCAGCAGUGGGGAAUAUUGCACAAUGGGCGCAAGCCUGAUGCAGCCAUGCCGCGUGUGUGAAGAAGGCCUUCGGGUUGUAAAGCACUUUCAGUUGUGAGGAAGGUGGUGUCGUUAAUAGCGGCAUCAUUUGACGUUAGCAACAGAAGAAGCACCGGCUAACUCCGUGCCAGCAGCCGCGGUAAUACGGAGGGUGCGAGCGUUAAUCGGAAUUACUGGGCGUAAAGCGCAUGCAGGUGGUUUGUUAAGUCAGAUGUGAAAGCCCGGGGCUCAACCUCGGAACUGCAUUUGAAACUGGCAGACUAGAGUACUGUAGAGGGGGGUAGAAUUUCAGGUGUAGCGGUGAAAUGCGUAGAGAUCUGAAGGAAUACCGGUGGCGAAGGCGGCCCCCUGGACAGAUACUGACACUCAGAUGCGAAAGCGUGGGGAGCAAACAGGA
rnacentral:rRNA from 1 species